GCCUACAUUCAAACUACGCGGAAUGCGCCCCUAUUCUCAUCAGAUCUCAGAAGCGAAGCAGAGGGACGAGCCUGGUGAGUUACUUGGAUGGGUGAUCACCGGGGCCUGCCGGGCAUUGUUUGAC
rnacentral:rRNA from 1 species